AACGAACGCUGGCGGCGUGGCUAAGGCAUGCAAGUCGUACGGGGCUGGAUCGGUAGCAAUAUCGGUUCAGUUCAGUGGCGGACGGGUGAGUAAUACAUAGGUAACGUGCCUUGUGCUCGGGGAUACCGUCGGGCCCGCAAGGGUCCUUUGCGAAAGUGACGUUAAUACCUGAUGACGUCUUUGGGUCGCAUGGCUCGAAGACCAAAGGUGGGGACCGUAAGGCCUACCGGCACGAGAUCGGCCUAUGCCCUAUCAGCUUGUUGGUGAGGUAACGGCUUACCAAGGCUCUGACGGGUAGCCGGCGUGAGAGCGCGACCGGCCACAUCGGGACUGAGACACUGCCCGGACACCUACGGGUGGCUGCAGCAACGAAUAUUCCGCAAUGGGCGCAAGCCUGACGGAGCGACGCCGCGUGAGCGAAGAAGGCCUUCGGUUGUUAAGACUCUGUCUGGAGGGACGAAGGAAGUGACGGUACCUCCGGAGGAAGCCACGGCUAACUACGUGCCAGC
rnacentral:rRNA from 1 species